GUAGGGAAUUUUCCGCAAUGGGCGAAAGCCUGACGGAGCAACGCCGCGUGCAGGAGGAAGGCCUUCGGGUUGUAAACUGCUUUUAUCUGUGAAGAUUAUGACGGUAGCAGAAGAAUAAGGAUCGGCUAAUUCCGUGCCAGCAGCCGCGGUCAUACGGAAGAUCCGAGCGUUAUCCGGAAUUACUGGGCGUAAAGAGUUGCGUAGGCGGUCUAGAAAGCGAGCAGUGAAAGAUCCCGGCUCAACCGGGGGCACAUUGUUCGAACUUCUAGACUUGAGCAUAGUAGAGGUACCUGGAAUUCCCAGUGUAGGAGUGAAAUCCGUAGAUAUUGGGAGGAACACCGAUGGCGUAAGCAGGGUACUGGGCUAUUGCUGACGCUAAGGCACGAAAGCGUGGGGAGCGAACGGGAUUAGAUACCCCUGUAGUCC
rnacentral:rRNA from 1 species